AGUGUCUUUGGAGGCUUCGUUUCC
rnacentral:siRNA from 1 species